UACGAAGGGGGCUAGCGUUGCUCGGAAUUACUGGGCGUAAAGGGCGCGUAGGCGGCACUGUUAGUCAGGCGUGGAAGUCCUGGGCUCAACCUGGGAACUGCGCUUGAUACGGCAGAGCUAGAGGAUGGAAGAGGGUCGCGGAAUUCCCAGUGUAGAGGUGAAAUUCGUAGAUAUUGGGAAGAACACCGGUGGCGAAGGCGGCGACCUGGUCCAUUACUGACGCUGAGGCGCGACAGCGUGGGGAGCAAACAGG
rnacentral:rRNA from 1 species